GCGGUUAUACAAUAGAUGAUAUUUAAUAUUUUUGGUUAAAAGUAGUUAAGUUAUUAUUUGAGGUUAAUUAUUAUUUUUUGAGGUGAAAUUUAAAUUUAAAUUAUCUUUUAUAUGAUUCUUACUAAAUAUAACAUUUAAACUAGGAUUAGAUACCCUAUUAUUUUAUAUAUAAAUUUUUACCGGGGUAAUAAUAGUUAUUUUCUUUAAACCUAAAGAAUUUGGCGGUGUUUUAGUCUAUUCAGAGGAAUCUGUCCCAUUAUCGAUAGUCCACGUUUUAUCUUACUUUAUUUUGUUUACAGUAUGUAUACCGCCGUUAUAAGUUUAUUUUAUUAGAAUUAUAAUUUACUUAAGAUAAUAUUUUAUUAUAUUUCAGNCAAAGGUGCAGA
rnacentral:rRNA from 1 species